AGUGAACGCUGGCGGUAGGCCUAACACAUGCAAGUCGAACGGCAGCACAGUAAGAGCUUGCUCUUACGGGUGGCGAGUGGCGGACGGGUGAGGAAUACAUCGGAAUCUACUUUUUCGUGGGGGUUAACGUAGGGAAACUUACGAUAAUACCGCAUACGAUCUACGGUUGAAAGCAGGGGAUCUUCGGACCUUGCGCGAUUGAAUGGGCCGAUGUGGUAUUUGAUGGUUGGCGGGGUAAAGGCCCACUAAGGCGACGAUCCGUAGCUGGUGUGAGAGGAUGGUCAGCCACACUGGAAGUGGGACACGGUCCAGAGGCCUACGGGAGGCAGCAGUGUGGAAUAGGGGACAGUGGGGGCGAGCCUGGUCCAGUGAGACCGCGUGGGAGAAGGAGGCCUUCGGGUUGUAAAGCCGUUUUGUUGGGAAAGAAAAGCAGCAGGUUAAUACCCCGCUGGUCUGACGGUACCCAAAGAAUAAGCACCGGCUAACUUCGUG
rnacentral:rRNA from 1 species